rnacentral:rRNA from 1 species
UGGGGAAUCUUCCGCAAUGGACGAAAGUCUGACGGAGCAACGCCGCGUGAGUGAAGACGGCCUUCGGGUUGUAAAGCUCUGUUAUUCGGGAAGAACGAUUCGUUUGUGAACAAUGAACGGAAGUGACGGUACCGAAAGAGAAAGCCACGGCUAACUACGUGACAGCAGCCGCGGUAAUACGUAGGUGGCAAGCGUUGUCCGGAAUUAUUGGGCGUAAAGAGCGCGUAGGCGGUAUGGUAAGUCUGUCUUAGAAGUGCGGGGCUUAACCCCGUGAGGGGACAGAGACUGUCAUACUGGAGUCUCGGAGAGGAAAGCGGAAUUCCUAGUGUAGCGGUGAAAUGCGUAGAGAUUAGGAAGAACACCGGUGGCGAAGGCGGCUUUCUGGACGAGCACUGACGCUGAGGCGCGAAAGCGUGGGGAGCGAACAGG